GACGAACCGUGCGAACGUUGUUCGGAAUCACUGGGCUUAAAGGGCGCGUAGGCGGCCACGCACGUCCGUUGUGAAAUCGCCCGGCUCAACUGGGCGGGGUCGGCGGAUACGGCGUGGCUGGAGCAAGCUAGGGGGCAAUGGAAUUCCCGGUGUAGUGGUGGAAUGCGUAGAUAUCGGGAGGAACACCAGUGGCGAAGGCGGUUGCCUGGAGCUUUGCUGACGCUGAGGCGCGAAAGCGUGGGGAGCGAUCCGG
rnacentral:rRNA from 1 species